rnacentral:rRNA from 1 species
CAGCAGCCGCGGUAAUACGAGGGGGGCAAGCGUUGUUCGGAAUUAUUGGGCGUAAAGCGAGCGCAGGCGGUUAGAUAAGUCUGAAGUUAAAGGCUGUGGCUUAACCAUAGUACGCUUUGGAAACUGUUUAACUUGAGUGCAGAAGGGGAGAGUGGAAUUCCAUGUGUAGCGGUGAAAUGCGUUGAGAUCGAAAAGAACACCAACAGCGAAAGCACUCUGCUGGGACGACACUGACACUAAGAGACGAAAGCUAGGGGAGCAAAUGGGAUUAGAGACCCCAGUAGUCCCUGUCUCUUAUACA